rnacentral:rRNA from 1 species
GACGAACGCUGGCGGCGUGCUUAAUACAUGCAAGUCUUAGGGGUUUUCACUCUUCGGGGUGAAGAUCACUGGCGCACGGGUGAGUAACACGUAAGUAAUCUGCCUCCGGGUCGGGCAUAACACCGGGAAACCGGUGCUAAUUCCCGAUGACACUGCAAAGUCAAAGGCUUCGGCCGCCCGGAGAUGAGCUUGCGUCCGAUUAGCUAGUUGGCGGGGUAAUAGCCCACCAAGGCGACGAUCGGUAGCCGGUCUGAGAGGAUGAUCGGCCACAUUGGGACUGAGACACGGCCCAGACUCCUACGGGAGGCAGCAGUAAGGAAUAUUGCGCAAUGGAGGCAACUCUGACGCA